GUGGGGAAUAUUGGACAAUGGGCGAAAGCCUGAUCCAGCCAUGCCGCGUGUGUGAAGAAGGUCUUCGGAUUGUAAAGCACUUUAAGUUGGGAGGAAGGGCAGUAAGUUAAUACCUUGCUGUUUUGACGUUACCGACAGAAUAAGCACCGGCUAACUUCGUGCCAGCAGCCGCGGUAAUACGAAGGGUGCAAGCGUUAAUCGGAAUUACUGGGCGUAAAGCGCGCGUAGGUGGUGUUGUAAGUUGGAGGUGAAAUACCCGGGCUCAAACUUGGAACUGCCUCCAAAACUGGAUGACUAGAGUACGGUAGAGGGUAGUGGAAUUUCCUGUGUAGCGGUGAAAUGCGUAGAUAUAGGAAGGAACACCAGUGGCGAAGGCGACUACCUGGACUGAUACUGACACUGAGGUGCGAAAGCGUGGGGAGCAAACAGGAUUAGAUACCCCUGUAGUCC
rnacentral:rRNA from 1 species